GGGCCGAUAGCUCAGUUGGUAGAGCAGUUGACUUUUAAUCAAUUGGUCCCGCGUUCGAGUCGCGGUCGGCCCA
rfam:Psychrobacter sp. PRwf-1, complete genome.